UUUGUGAAAUAUGAUCCAGAAAGAAGAAACCAGAGGGCAAUAAGUUAGUUGGAAAACCUUCUCUUGCUUUUUUUGUUGAGAGCAGAAGGCCAGAAAAGAGAAGGCUAAUUUGGGCAGUUUCUUUGAGGUGAGGACGGUAAAGGAGGAGGCCAGGGAGCUCCUGGGGGUGCUACCCGGCCUGUCUAUUAACGGUGUUCAACUAAAGAUGACCACAAGGCUGUAUUUCCAGGAAUUGCCAGUGAGAUGUUUCUUCAGAUGCCCACACCAAAGUCCUCUUCCCAAACCUAAGUCAGCCUGGACUUUGUACAAACUGAAACUUAGGGAAGUUGCUUUAGCAAGAAAGCAACCCAGAAACUGUCUCCUGCCAAUCAAUCAACACUAAAAGUGAAGACUCCAACGUGGUGUUUUUCUUCAUAACAUCCUCCAAAGCUGUUCUGUGUUAAAUUGUUUAGCGAAAUUCUCAUUAAGAUAACUGUGGUGACUUCCAUGAGAACACAUGCCAGAAUAUUGCCGUGAGGAAAAGCCUCAGCUUUCGAGGACAGCUGCUCCUUCCUGCCAUCUAAAAAUUACCCAAAGUGUGGAAUCCUCUCCAGGCCACUGAGCACUGGCCCAGGGGCCCUCUGUCAGGGCCCCUCCAGGCCCCGUGUGGCCCAUUCUUCCUUUUGCCACUGCCUAGUCUGAGCAGGCAGCCUUUGGCUUGAGUGUUGCAUCCCUGAAAACAGAGAAAAGCCUAACACCCUAAGCUACUCAGACCUUGAACCCAGUAUUUGCAGAACAUGCCUUCCUUGUUUUCUCUCCCAACCUCGGGAAAGGAUAAUGCCAUGUAUUUUUCUAAAGAGAAGACACACAGCAUAAGAUCAAAUCAUUUUUUUCCAGCUAAGCCUCCCGCUGGGUUCCCCAGCCAACUUUCUGCAGCUCAUAAAAUAAACACAAUUCCCAUUCAUCCCUCCAGCUCCAAAUCCAUCAUUACUUGGCUGUGGACAAAUAGGCAGGUGGUACUGCACAACAGGGCUUGGAUGAGCUCUUUUUUUCCUUCCUGGACGGAAGAAGGAGAAUUAGCACGAAAUCUUUCGUAUUAAUGAAUGACAGGGCAGACAACUGGGAGGAUCAUGUGAAUUUCAUCCUGGAGGAAAGUAUGGAGGUGAUUAUUAGAACAGCUUUGCCGUCUCCAUAAAGGCAAGUCUGGAAUCCGCCAUACUGGCCACCAUCUCAGUACAUGGUCCAGACUGGCUUCGCUGGAUGGAGAUGAGCAACUAGGUGGUGGGGAGGCUUGGGGCCGGAAUAACGUGGGUGAGUGGAAAGUGGAUCCUUGAUCAGAAACAUGAAGCCCUGAGGGCUUCCUUUCCCUGGUGGCGCAGUGGUUAAGAGUCCGCGCCUGCCGAUACAGGGGACGCGGGUUCGUGCCCCGAUCCGGGAAGAUCCCACAUGCCGUGGAGCGGCUGGGCCCGUGAGCCAUGGCCGCUGAGCCUGCGCGUCCGGAGCCUGUGCUCCACAACGGGAGAGGCCACAACAGUGAGAGGCCCGCGUACUGCAAAAAAAAAGAAAAAGAAAAAGAAAGAAAAAAGAAACAUGAAGCCCUACUGCAAAGCAUUACCUACUUUUGGCCCUGAGGCCUGGUCUGGAAGCUGGAAGAGGAACAAAGAAUUUCCAAAGGUGCUCGAGGUAGACGUAUGCGGGCCUCUCACUGUUGUGGCCUCUCUGGAAAUUGAAGGUCCACAGUCACCCAGGUCCAAUCAGCACAAAGACUGAGAUGAUAAACAUACAUCACAGAAGUUUCUGGACUCCAGGCUUCUUUUCAGAGACAAAAAAAUGCUUGAAAUAUACGGUUCCUCUCUGGAGGAUUUGUUCAUCGCAGGCCCAUGUUUUACUAACUGUCAGUUGAGGAAGCAAAGGCAGGAGUCAGCACCACGUCCUGAGGAUCUAUCUUCUGGGGAUUUCAGGAGACACCAAGGAGUGCUGUGAGCUAUGGGGAAACAUCCCACAUCUGCCCUGGAGGAACAGUUCAUCUUGCUACUGUAUUUUGUAUAGCAUCAACAGUUUUUCAAUCAGAUAGAUAUUCUCCUACUUUCAUUCAUCCAGGUCGUCCAUUUCUGCCCAAUCAGGCAGAUUGGCUGAACAGAAAGACUACCCUGUUCAUCCCAGGGUCUGGAAAUGCCAAAUGUAUUUCUUUUAAGUCCUGGACUGCUUUUCACUGAACGAGGCCAAGCCUCCAUCCAGAAGGUUCUGCUUGGCAAGUAAGCCAGGUCCUGCACCUGGGCUGCUAGGGGUCAGGACCUCGUGUUGGGCUGUGAGGGCUGGAGUUCCCCCAUUCGCCUCUACCAUGCAGUGAGCCAGGCUGGAGCAGUGGAAAGAGCGUGGGGUUCACAGGCAGUUUUUAGCAACGUUCCUUACUAGUGUUGUGACUUCUUUCUCAUCGUUAGCCUUCAGUGCAUUGUUAGCUAUUAUUAUGAACAAGUAUUAGAGGCCAAAUGUCACCAGCACUAAGGCACUGUUGUCCUCUUGUCCCUUGCUACUCACAGUGCAUCCGUAGGUUGGUUCAUCUUCAUCACCUGGGAGCUUAUUAGAAAUGCAGACUCUCAGGCCCCACUCUAGAACGAUGGAAUCAGAAUCUGUGUUUUCUCAAGAUCCCAGGAGGUUCCCACGUGAACAGUCUGAGAGGCCCUGAGGUCUAGUGGUCAAACUUCCUGCCUCCCUGAAAGGGCCAACACACCCACUCUGCUUUAUUCAGAAGGACAGUCUCUCCGAGUGUUCUCCUGUGGCGAACAGUCUUCCUACAACCCACAUCUGGACACGUGGUCAAAUCAAAUAUGAACUGACUUAAUGGGGUCAGUGGGACAGGUUUUCGACGCUGAGAUUGACCGUCACCAUAUUUAGCUCCCAUUUCAUAACCAUUUUGCUUUCUUCUUCCUGGAAAGGGUAGAGAAUUAUUUCAAAACAGUCCACCUCCCCAGCUGAGUCAUGGAUGAGGCUGUAUGGUAGCUUUUUAUACACUUCUCUGCCAAAACGUUUCUUUUAAGGAAAAAAAAAAGAGUCCCUACCAGACACACCAUGGGAAUCUGUCCCCUUCCCACCUGGCUUCUGGAGGUCAGUCGCUGCACAGAUGGAGCUGGUCCGUGCGGCCACCUGGCCUCCGCUUCAGUGAAUGUCACAGAUUCUGCCUAUUAAGUGCCCCUUUCUUGCAUCUGCACAUGCAGGACACUGAGCCUUUUGCAACGGCAAUUUUUGAAUGUGACUCACAAUGCAUUGUUGCAGCAACUCUCCAUCAGGACCCACUGAAUUAGAGGCAGAGGCAGCUGCUGCUCCUAAAACCCAAGUUCCUGGUCCAAGGCCUCUGCCGACCAUCUGUGACACCUUGGAGACCCUGUUUAGAAUCAACAGUGUUGCCUGGACUGUGAGCUGUGACUCUGAACAUGUGCGCAAACAGAGAUCUCACUCAUGUUUGGUUAAAAUUUCCUAUUCUUCCCAUUUUCUAUCCUAAAAAGAUGUUUAUGUCCACUGUGUGAAACUUUCAGCAUGAGUGGCCUUCAACCCAUACUCUUGGCCAAGAGCUGUGCAAUUCGUGGGCUGCAUGGGAAUUGGUCUGAGACCAGUGGAAUCAAGGAAGGGGCUGGCUGUGGGUUCUGAAGAUAUGUCAGCCGGGGGUUGGUCGUUUGCUGGUAAUAGAAACCCAACUCACACCAGCUCAGGUUAGCUUAGUAACUGGGAAGAGUGCUGGGUGGCUCACAGGUAGAAGAGAGAGUUGAGAACCAGGGUGUUGGGAGCUCUAAUGGGAGAUGAUGUAAUGCUUCCAGGAAUUUCUCUCCUUGGUGUGUGUGUGUGUGUGUGUGUGUGUGUGUGUGUGUGUGUGUGUACAUACACUCAGGCUGGCUUCCUCUUUGCCACUAGAGAUGAUGGUUGCAAGGAGCUCUUUGACUUGUUUUUCCCUUGUAUGACCCUAAGGGGUCAGCAAAUCAUUGGCCUGGUGGCCUAUUUUUGCACACCCCCAACUCCACACAAGGCAAGCUAGGAAUGGUUUUAAAUCUUUAAAGAGUUGUAAGACAGCAAAAAAGAAGGCUAUGAGACAGGACCCUAUGUGGGCUGCAAAGCCUAAAAUAUUUACUAUCUGGCCCUUCACAAAAAAAAACGUUCUGACUCCUGAAGGGAAAGAAUUCCUCACCCCCUCCACCAAUUCCAGCAGAAAUGGCCCCAAGAGACACACACAUUCCUGAGGCAGUCACUGUGGCAAGAGAGGUUGGGGGAUUCUGAUUGACCAGGCUUGCCUCAUAUGACCCCUGGGUACCUGGGCGGCAGGACCGUUCUUCCAAGAAAAAGCAGGUUGCAGCUCCCAAAAGAAAAAGGGAGAGGUGGGCAAGUCAACCAACAGAUAACCCAUAGGAAACCGAUGACACUCUUUUUUAAAAGAGGGCUAUUUCCAAAGAUGUGGACAGUGGCGAGGGAUGGAGGAGAACAUGGGGAUGAGCCACAGGGGAAACCUAGGCCCGAAGGGGCAGGGUGGGAACUGUUAGCUAAAUCUACAGGAGCUGUGACCAUGAGAUCCGUCACCAGGCUGGAGAGAGAGGGGAGAACACAGCAACGGCCAAGCCGCUGCCUGGCGGGGAGGGAGCUCACACUGUCCAGGCCUCCAGCCUCCUGUCCAUGCCCCCCAUUGGCCACACCAACCAGGAGGCAGCAGCCACAUCCUAGAGGUCAGCCUCCUGGGCACGGAGCACAUGGAGCAGUGUCUGGAGCAGGUCUGGAGGGGCAAAUGGAGACAGUGCGGACAGUCCACAGAGAGAAGUCUGUCCUCCAACUCGACCUGGCUAAUGGUCUAUGCAGUCAGAGGGCCUGAGCUUAGACGGGGCCCACACUUGGGUCAAUGCCGUCACCGUCUUGAAAUUCUUAAUAAUUUUUGACCAAGGGGCCCCGGGUUUUCAUUUUGCACUCAGCCCCACAAAUUGCACAGCCAGGCCUCACUCUAUAUUUACGACUGCGUGAUCUCAACAAGUCCUUUUAUCUCUUCUGCCAUUCGGUUUCCCAAUCUGUAAAGUGAUCUGAAUGAUAUUUUCCUCUCAGGGUUGAAGAGCGAAUGAGGUUUGUACGUGAAGGGCCUGCUGGAGAGAGUGGGCCACCAGCCAGGGUGGUCCUCCCUCUCCCGCAAGGGUGCUUCCUCCACUUUCCUCAGACACAGACCUUGACAGCUGUGGGCAGCAACUCGGGAAAGAAGAGGAGGUCCUAAAAUGCAACCCGACUAGAAAGAAUCCUGGUCUUAUCUCAGGCCCAGAGCUGAUCACGAGGGAAGAAGUGACAGAGUUGGGGAGGGGUGGUCGUUUGUUUGGCUACUAGGCAUUCAGAGACCAUUAGAAAUAAACCUAACAAUCCCCUAGUUACCUUGUUUGACAUGAGGAAACUGAAGUCCAUGAAUAUCCAAAACCUUGCCCAAGGUCACAGACAUAGUGAAUAGCAGAGCUUGACCCCAACUCAGGACUUCUGGGGCCAAGUCCAGGGAGCUCUUAAUUCCCUGCUGUUGACAAGGAGGCCAUUAGACUGAGGGGCUCUGAUGCCUCCACGCACGUAAGCAAACCCAGCUCUAAGCCUGGAAAUGUCUCGGGGUUACCAAAUCAAAACGCUAAGGACAACCGGCCACAAAGAGCCAAGUAGGCUUUAUUAAUUAAUUUAUUUAUUUUUGCUGUGUUGGGUCUUCGUUUCUGUGCGAGGGCUUUCUCUAGUUGUGGCAAGCGGGGCCCACUCUUCAUUGCAGUGUGUGGGCCUCUUCACUAUCGCGGCCUCUCUUGUUGCGGAGCACAGGCUCCAGACGCGCAGGCUCAGUGGCCAUGGCUCACGGGCCUAGUUGCUCCGCGGCAUGUGGGAGCCUCCCAGACUAGGGCUUGAACCCGUGUCCCCUGCAUUAGCAGGCAGAUUCUCAACCACUGCGCCACCAGGGAAGCCCCAAGUAGGCUUUAAAUCAAACCAUUUCCGUUCUUUGCUUCCUCACUUUCCCUGUAUAAGUCUUUCCCUUGAUCUCAUCAGGUUUGGCAGUGCCCCAUAUCCACUGGAAUGGAUAAAUGCUCAAAUAAGCUCUUAAAAUGUUUAAUAUGCCUCAGUUUAUCUUUUAACAGAACACAUUCAUACUCACACCAGAAACUGGACAUGGUUUGACUUCAAUACAAGACUUGGGGAUUAUUAUCAAUUUGCUGUGGUACAAAUUGUUUGUUAACAAUUUGCCUUUUCUUCUCUGCUCCCUCCCCAAGAAAUCCCCACCUUCUUUCUUCUUCUGCACUUUCACUGGAAGAAACUUAGGUUUUUAUUCCUCGAGGGUGCGUACUAGCGUCAUAGGUGCCGUGGGCCUUGAACCGAAGGGCCUCAUCAGGACUCUGAUGAAGCCCCUGGCAUGAGGCCCUGAAUGCGUCUCAGAGCUGAAAGGAAUCUGGAUGAAAAUUUCAUUUUCUCCACAUAAUGACUGGGCCCUAAAUGGGCAAUGUUUUGUGAGUCCCGUUAAAGUGAAAUAAUUCUGUUCGUCCUGACUCACAGAUUUUCUGCCUGCUUAUAUACCUAAAGGCUUUUUCCACUUCUCAUCAGAGUAUUUUUUGUGUGUGCAAAAUUGUUUUAUAUCCCACAGCAAGCUUUAAUCUGGUGAGGACAGUCUGUUUCUCCUGGCAACCUCGAGGAUACUAGAUGAAUGAGGGUCAGCUGGAUAGUUUGAAGAGACGCCUUGGUAAUCUGUUAAACAAAGCUGGGAAUUUUCCGAAGAACGUUUAGCAAAGAUACUACAGUUUGAAGUGAAUAGGAAGGGUUUUGUUUGCAAGUUCUGCCUCACUGUUGGACUCAAAGAGUGUUCGGCCCCAGAAAAGAACAUCAAUGUCUUUUUGGAAAUUAAACACACACACACACACCAAAGACUUCUUUUCUGCCCACAUUGAGUUUACUUAACUGUAAAAAAGUUUGUCACGCCUGAAAAUAUGUAUCUUUGCCUUUGCCCCAAAGCAAAUGCUAUAGAGGAAAAAAGAUACCAUAUCUUUUGUCUUUGGGAAAAUGAAUUGUGAAGGAUUGUGCUUCAGAGAGAUCAACAAAAGACCCAAACAAUUCUGCACAGUGCAAUCUUGGAGUUUGGGCUGUGGAUUGGGAAUCCGGAGGCACUUAAUCUCUUUGUACAUUUAUUCCUCCAUUUGAAAAUCAGGGAUAAUACCUGCUGCCUACUUAACCUUAAAUGGAUGUGUGAGGAUUAGCCAAUUAAAGUUUGCCAAAUGCUUGGAAACCAA